rnacentral:lncRNA from 1 species
AGGAACCAAACCAAGAUGCUGCUGCCACCGCCUUAGCUGGCCUGCUCUUCACGGAGAGGACACACACUUGCCAGGAUCAUCACUGCACUCCCCCAUCAGCAACUGUGCCUUUUCAUAGAGAAACCUCCCCAAAACCCAGAGCUUUGCAGUUGCAGGGCUUGGCAAUGGCGAUGGCCAUGGCGAUGCCGCCACCGUCCUCACGUCGCCCCCUCCCAGACCUCAUGCUGCUGCUGCUGCUUCUUCAUCUUCUUCUUGGCGGCCCAUGCGCCGUUUCAUCCCUCUCCGUCUCCGCUCCCCCCC